CCGGGCCCAACCCAGCUAGGGAUAGCCUUUCUGGGGUAAGGACUAGAGGUUAGUGGAGACCCCCGGCUUUUG
rfam:Modoc virus genomic RNA for polyprotein gene